CCCAGACUGGCGGUAGCAUGAAGAUGGGGGUGGGAGUGUGUAGCGGGAGAAGCACCUGCCAGGACCCCCACCUGCCCGCUACUUGGGCACCCCAAAGCUGUGUGCUGCCCACCUGGUGUUCCCCAACAUCUCCAGCUCUACCAAGUGCACCCCUCUGGCACCUGCUUCCCCUGCUGCCAGCGAUUUAGACCAACCAGGCUGUAUCCACGGCAACAGAAGCAGGAGUGUCACUGGCUGCCAGAUCACUGAGGGUCCCACAAUGUGGCCUGGACUGUGAUGUACCCUGGUUGAGAUCGAGUGAGCCCCCUUCCUGAAUUCCAAGACAGUCCUGCUAAGAGAACCCAGUCUCUACCCACAGGUAACAUACUUUUGCUCACUCACCCUGGAAGAUGUGUCCCAGCUAGUGGGAGGAAGCGGCUAUAGGAAUAGAGGAAGAUACCCAUAUUGUGUUUGGGACCUCCAGAUCAAUGACACAGUAGCCCGAGGUCCAUGUAUCUGGAGGUGCAGGAAAACCUGGUAUAUGGAGAACAUGGAUUCUACUAGGGACACGGCUCCUAACUACUAGCUCACAACUUUAGUGGAGGCAUGUCACUUGUUGAACCUUGGUUUUCCCAUUUGUCAAGGAGACUGGUAACCCUUUCUUUGUGGAUGUAUGCAGGGAUUAAAUAAAUUGAUGGCAUGCAAAUAAUUAAAUGUGUGCAUAGGGUGACACUGAGCAGUGUCAGCAAAGCUCAGGAUCAAUCUUAUUGCUGGUUGUUCAUGAUUUGUAUUGCUAUUGAUUAGAAGAAGAAUUAGCACCUUUUCUCCAGGGUCUCAGCAGAGAUCUAGAGAAGGCAGCAGGUGGGAAGAUGGAGGGUCGCAAGUGGAAGGAAGUAGAACAGCUUUAUGCUGUUUCUUCUCAUUUGUAAGGAAUGAUGGGUAGCUGUGGGCAGUCAUCCCUAUCCUACUUGGGGUUCUUUCCCUGCAUUCGCUCCUCUUUGCACACACGCGCGCGCGCGC